CCUCCUUACCUCCUAUAGGACUUGAGGAGAGGUGGAUAGUUUUCAUUUAUCUCUCAUUGUUUAUUUUAUCAUUUAGUUUUAAAAUUAAUACUCUCUUUCAAAAAUGGGUUCAAAUUAGGCGUUUGGGCUUAACAUAGACACACUAUAUAUAUAACAGAUAGCCAACAAAGACCUACUGUGUAGCACAGAGAACUCUGCUCAGUAUUUUAUAGUAACCUAUAAGGGAAAAGAAUCUGAAAAAGAAUAGACAUAUAUAUGUAUGGAUAACUGAAUCACUUUGCUGUACUCCCGAAAUUAAUAUGACAUUGUAAAGCAACUAUACUUCAAUUUAGCAAGAUGGAAAGAGAUGGCUUCAGGUUUGCCUGAGCUAAAUAACCUUGAAUUUUAUUUUUUUCAAUAGAUUUUAUUAUUUUAAAGUCAUAUACUUGGAGCAUUAAAAAAAUGAAAUGCCAAAGCUGAUAUCUUGACCCGAGUUAUAAGAUGCCCAUGCUUCACCUUUAUAGCGUGCCCCUCCUGGUAGUCGCUGCUCACUAGCAAACAUGUUGUCAAUACACAAGGCAAUUGAAUGCACGUGUUUUUCUAUUUGACCACCUAUGUGUGUGCUCCUCUAAAGAAAAAUCAAAAUCGAAGAAGGAACCGGCACCCUGCCCAGGACUCGCCACCACCUCAAAAGCAGAAAGUCAUCUUUCUGCUGUUGAAGUCGCUAACAUGAAGAAGCCUGCAAGCCCAGAAAGCUUAUUUCUCAGCUGAGUGACCACAGCAGAAAGGACCCACGUUCUUGUCUAAGCCCUGUAACUGCAGGCUUCUAUGUUAAGGCCAAUAUCUGCCUUCGUGCAGAACUGCCAGAGGGGUUUAGGGAAACGAGAUACCAUUUCUCUGAGAAACUCUGCUCAUUUCUGUGAGCCCAUGAUUGAUGGUGAUUGACAACUCUGCACACCUGCAAUCAAGGAUGCCCCAUAUUUACCCCCCAGGGCAACACCUGUGGGGAGGCCGGUUCUCACUCCCUGAGCGUGGCCUGCAGGCGGCUGGCAGAGCGUCUGCUGGUCCUCCCUUCCCUAAAGCUCUGGGAAGGUGGCCAGGAGCCUGGUCACCUCACCCCUGCACGGCAGUCCUGUCUGUGCGAGCUUGUCUCUUCUGCACUCAGCCUCUGGCCGGAGGCAACAGCGGGGUCCUCUUUGUGAAGGAGCAUCUACCGCAGAGGACGGUAAGAAGUUCCAGUGAGACCAAGGAUAUGAAGACUACACCAGGCCCAGACCGAUAGUUGGAGACCCUGUGAGUCUGCGAUGGCAAGCACAGGGUGGAAAGUGUGGGCAUGGCAGGAGCCGUCACCACCCUGUGGUCUGUUAUCUCUCCCGUGUGGUCACGACUGGGAAGGGACAAGCAACUGGCCCCACACAGGGCCCACCCCUGGGCAUCCCCUGGCCACCUACGAGCUCCUUGUCGAACUCCUAUUCUCCUUUUUUUCUUCCCAUACCCCCAUGUAAAAAGAAUAAAUAUGAAUUAUUUUUCUCUAGUUGGGGGGGUGAACUGUACAUUUAAACUCUCCUUGUUUAUCACAGCAUUUAUUAUAAGAGUAAAAAUUAGAAACAACCUAAAUAGCCAUCAACAGGAGUCUGAGUAUUUCGAUUGUGAUCUUUUUUAGACAAUAAAAUACUAAGCAAAUAUUAAAUACGACUUUUAGGGAGAUCCAGAUUUAUUCAUCCAGAAAGCUGUCCAGGAUGUACAUUUGUACAGAAGAAACAGAUUACACAAUAGUAAAACAGUGAUCUGACAUGGUAUAUCAUUAUCUGUGGCUGAAUAUGCAGAGAAAAUGUGAUUUUUAUUUUCCCUUGGAGCUCAUCUAUUCCUUCUCAUAAUCUCCCAUUUAGUAGCUAGUGGAAUAACAAGGAAAAAAACCAUUAAGUCUCUAGUCUUAGUUAAAUUUAGUCCAGUCUGAUCACGUAAACAGUCCUUUCAUCUCACAUUCUUUUAGAAAAACUUCUCCUUCUGGAAGGCUCCCUGUGAUAAUUUCAUGUGUCAACUUGAUGGGGCCACAGGGGCCCAGAUAUUUGGCCAAAAGUUACUGUGGGUGUGUCUGUGAGGGUGUUUCUGGAUGAGGUUAACAUCUUACACGGUAGACUGAGCAAAGUAGGUUGCCCUCCCCAGUGGGUGGGUUUCAUCCAAUCUGAUGAAGGCCAGACAAGGACAUAAAGGCUGAAUAACAGAAAAUUCACUCUCUCUCUCUGCUGUCUUUGAGCAGAGCAUCAGUCUGCAUCUGCCUUCAGACUAGAAUUAUACCAGGGUCUCUUUUGGGUCUUCAGUUUGCCAGCUAUAGACCUUGGGACUUCUCAGCCUCCCUGAUCAUGGGAGCAAAUUCCGUGGGUGGGUGGGUGGGAGGAUGGAUGGAUGGAUGGAUGUAGAAAUAUCNNNNNNNNNNNNNNNNNNNNNNNNNNNNNNNNNNNNNNNNNNNNNNNNNNNNNNNNNNNNNNNNNNNNNNNNNNNNNNNNNNNNNNNNNNNNNNNNNNNGUGGGUGGGUGGGAGGAUGGAUGGAUGGAUGGAUGUAGAAAUAUCUCUUAUCGGUUCUGCUUCUCUGGAGAAUCCUUACUAGUAAGCUCCCUUUGCCCACUUCUCUUCCCCAGGUGAUACCCAGGUGUG
ensembl:lncRNA